CAAUAAUUAUCACGUGAUAUGGAUAACGAUCACUUAUCUUUUGCACAGGUGUUUCUCGAGUUCGAGUAAGGACAGUUGGGGGUGAAGCCGGUCCUUCGAGGCCUAAGAAAGGUCCCAGAGGGUAUGAUCACGAUGAUCCUCCAGUCUUGAAUGGAGAGGGUCCCUGCCCGUACUGCCACCUGUCACCGUGUGUCAGAGCCAGACCACCCAGCUGGCUGAUUGGAAGCGCUGCACCUAAUUUGGGGAACAUGGUGAAGCGCUUCAAACUAUACAGAAAGUAUUGGACGCUGCUAGGUCAGUUGGGGGUAUGGAAUCACCCUCUAUAUAAUUAUGGCAUAUAAAGUGACCAAAACCAGUGCACAUGACAAGAGGGAUGUGAUGCCUGACUGUGUAUUGAGAGAGGUGCGUGAGCGAUUUCCGAAUCCAGAUGGAGUUCCAUACACAGACUUCCAGUCUUCUACUUCCUUUAUUGUUUAAUUAUGUAAAAUGCAAUUAUAAAAUGCUGAUUGGCUAGUCAAAA